rnacentral:rRNA from 1 species
GAUGAACGCUAGCGGCAGGCCUAAUACAUGCAAGUCGAACGGUGUCUUCGGACAUAGUGGCGCACGGGUGCGUAACACGUAUGCAACCUACCUUACAUUGGGGGAUAGCCUUUCGAAAGGGAGAUUAAUACCGCAUAAGACAGUAGCUGGGCAUCCAGCAGCUGUUAAAGAUUUAUCGAUGUACGCUGGGCAUGCGUCCAAUUAGCUAGUUGGUGAGGUAAGGGCUCACCAAGGCAAUGAUUGGUAGGGGAACUGAGAGGUGAAUCCCCCACACUGGCACUGAGAUACGGGCCAGACUCCUACGGGAGGCAGCAGUAGGGAAUAUUGGGCAAUGGACGCAAGUCUGACCCAGCCAUGCCGCGUGCAGGAUGAAGGCGUUAUGCGUUGUAAACUGCUUUUAUACAGGAAGAAACGACUCUUGCGAGAGGCAUUGACGGUACUGUAUGAAUAAGCACCGGCUAACUCCGUGCCAGCCGCCGCAGUAAUAC